UGGAAGCUUAUAAUGAAAUAUCUAGUACUAAUCCUAAUAGCAUUUAUAUUCCAAUUGAUAUAUGCAUUGAUGAUUAUAAUAAGGAAAUUUUGUCAUAAAAAACCAUUUAUAACAACUAUUUUGUUGGAAAAACCUUAUAAAAAGUUUUUGGCAAAGAGAAACCAGCUUGUAAAAUAUUUUUGUUGAAGACAACCUAAGAUCUCUAAUCACUCAAUUAACUACUAAUUUCCCCUUAAUUCUUCUAAUUACUAAUAAUUGUCACUUAACUAACUAAUAAUUAAGUUAAUUUAAGUAAUAAAAACAAAAAACAAAAACCACCCUUACCACCACCACCCAGCCACCUUCUCCUUCUCCCCCUCCCAUGGCAGCAGGCAGCAACCCCCCCAUCCCCAGCCGCUGCUUGGAACCCCCCACCCCCACCGACCAACCUCCACCGCCGAACCGACCUCUUCCUUUUCCCCUUUAUCUUCGCGGAGACCACUCUCAUAAACCCUAACCCAAAAAAUCACCCAAUAUAGUGACUGUGAGGCUCAGAAUGAAUAAUCCUCCAUCAAUGCCACCUUAAUUUUCUCUCUCCCCCGCUAAUCUUCUUUGUUUCCGCUCUGAUCUCGUCUUCGUCGUCAAUCCUCGAGGAGCAAAUGGCACGACAAGAAAAGAAUGGAAGAAACUUUUGGUUGGUCGAAGCAGGGGAGCUCGGCGGGCAACAGCUAAGGUCGCGAACGCAGUGGUGGAUUGGAGAUUGGUUGCCGAGAGUGGGGGUUAUAGGAAUAUAGGCGAUGGCUUGAAUAGGGAGGAGAAAGGGGUGGCUGGGUGGUGGUGGUUUUUUAUUGUUUUGUUUUGUU